rnacentral:rRNA from 1 species
UACGUAGGGUGCGAGCGUUAAUCGGAAUUACUGGGCGUAAAGUGUGCGCAGGCGGCGCCGCAAGUCGAGUGUGAAAUCCCCGAGCUUAACCUGGGAACUGCAUUCGAGACUGCAUUGCUAGAGUAUGGGAGAGGGAAGUGGAAUUUCCGGUGUAGCGGUGAAAUGCGUAGAUAUCGGAAGGAACAUCAGUGGCGAAAGCGACUUCCUGGACCAAUACUGACGCUCAUGUGCGAAAGCGUGGGGAGCAAACAGG